GUGAUAUGAAGUUAUUGAUUCAGAACGCAAGAGAGGAAAACCGCUGGUGGUCUCAUGCAGCACCACACAUUACCACAGCCAAAUCAACGACCUCCACCACCUGCAACUGAUGUAGUCCAGGUCCUAGAUCUAGUGAGGUGAAAGAAGCAGUAGGUCGGUAUUUUAGUUGAGGAGAAGUACAUGCUUGAGUAUAUCAGACAUCUUGAGGAGCUGCAAAUUGUAUAUAUGAUGUCUACGAUAAGAGAGAAUUCCGGAUUGUAUUGCUUCGAUUCCG